rnacentral:rRNA from 1 species
AUUGAACGCUGGCGGCAUGCUUUACACAUGCAAGUCGAACGGUAACAGGGUGCUUGCACCGCUGACGAGUGGCGAACGGGUGAGUAAUACAUCGGAACGUGCCCAGUAAUGGGGGAUAACGCAGCGAAAGUUGUGCUAAUACCGCAUACGCCCUGAGGGGGAAAGUGGGGGAUCGCAAGACCUCAUGUUAUUGGAGCGGCCGAUGGCUGAUUAGCUAGUUGGUGAGGUAAAGGCUCACCAAGGCGACGAUCAGUAGCUGGUCUGAGAGGACGACCAGCCACACUGGGACUGAGACACGGCCCAGACUCCUACGGGAGGCAGCAGUGGGGAAUUUUGGACAAUGGGCGAAAGCCUGAUCCAGCAAUGCCGCGUGUGCGAAGAAGGCCUUCGGGUUGUAAAGCACUUUUGUCAGGGAAGAAGGGCUUACAGCGAAUACCUGUGAGUUUUGACGUUACCGACAGAAUAAGCACCGGCUAACUUCGUGCCAGCAGCCGCCGUAA